AUCCUGAUAUGCCCAUAAUGGGUGGUCCAGUACCCAACAUGGAGAUUGUGGAGAAUAACUGCACGUAGCAGUUACUACUCAUGUUUGGUUUUCAAAAAUGGGAUAUAACUUCCCAAGUCAAAAACUGAUAAAAAGAGAAGAAAAAAAUGUAGACACACGACUCUCCCUCCCUCCUAAUCUCCUCUCUCAAUCAUUCAAAUUUCUGUAAAAUAUAAGGAAGGAUUUAGGGUGUGG
rnacentral:lncRNA from 1 species